rnacentral:rRNA from 1 species
AACGAACGCUGGCGGCAGGCCUAACACAUGCAAGUCGAACGCCGUAGCAAUACGGAGUGGCAGACGGGUGAGUAACGCGUGGGAACAUACCCUCCGGUUCGGAAUAACUCAGGGAAACUUGAGCUAAUACCGGAUACGUCCAAGGUUUUAAUCGGCCUUGGAGAAAGAUUUAUCGCUGGAGGAUUGGCCCGCGUCUGAUUAGCUUGUUGGUGAGGUAAUGGCUCACCAAGGCGACGACGGGUAGCCGGCCUGAGAGGGCGACCGGCCACACUGGGACUGAGACACGGCCCAGACUCCUACGGGAGGCAGCAGUGGGGAAUCUUGCGCAAUGGGCGAAAGCCUGACGCAGCGACGCCGCGUGAGGGAUGACGGCCU